ensembl:snRNA U2 U2 spliceosomal RNA
GCCGCUUCUCAGCCUUUUGGCUCAGAUCAAGUGUAGUAUCUGUUCUUAUCCAAGCAUUUCGCUACACUCGCAUUAACAUCUGCUAACCAUGUGUAUGUGACAAAUAAAAUUUGAUUUGAUUUGUUCCAAACAGGCAGAAAAAUUAU